AUUGAACGCUGGCGGCAUGCUUUACACAUGCAAGUCGAACGGCAGCACGGGGGCAGCCCUGGUGGCGAGUGGCGAACGGGUGAGUAAUACAUCGGAACGUGCCCGGUCGUGGGGGAUAACGUAGCGAAAGUUACGCUAAUACCGCAUACGAUCUGAGGAUGAAAGCGGGGGACCUUCGGGCCUCGCGCGAUCGGAGCGGCCGAUGUCAGAUUAGGUAGUUGGUGGGGUAAAGGCCUACCAAGCCGACGAUCUGUAGCUGGUCUGAGAGGACGACCAGCCACACUGGAACUGAGACACGGCCCAGACUCCUACGGGAGGCAGCAGUGGGGAAUUUUGGACAAUGGGCGCAAGCCUGAUCCAGCCAUUCCGCGUGCAGGACGAAGGCCUUCGGGUUGUAAACUGCUUUUGUACGGGACGAAAAGGCUCUGGCUAAUACCUGGGGCUCAUGACGGUACCGUAAGAAUAAGCACCGGCUAACUACGUG
rnacentral:rRNA from 1 species